rnacentral:lncRNA from 1 species
AUGGGGUCUGAGAGCAUUGAUUGCCCUGAUGAGCUCCACCUGGGGUCUCCCACAGUGCCCUGGGCUCAGGAGCCCUAUUUGAACCUAAAGUAUUCCUCUUCUUACACAGUGUCUCUGCAGUGCUUUGCCUACUCUAUUUCUGUUGCUGGGGCAGGAAACAACUUUUUUGUGAGGAGAAAAUUAGUGGUCGUUUGCUGCCCUUUGAGCACAGCCCAGACCUUUGAAUAUUUGAGAAUAUUGUUUCCCAAGAUGAAGAAAAAUAAUCAUUCAAUGUGUAUCUGUGAUUCUGCUGUCAGAGGCUUUUCUGCUUUCACUCAAGCUCAAUCCUGAGGUGGCUGUUAACUUCAGUAAAGAUGUCAAGACUGAGUGGCUGAAUUUGGGAACUGGGUUUUGUUCUCUUCACUGAAGCAGCUGGGAGCUGUUCCAAAAGGCAAGUGCAGAUGUAAAUGUAGCAUCCCUACAAUUAGCAUUUCCUAGAAGACUCUGAAGUGCCAAACCCAACUAUGAGAGCCAGGGCACAGAUAUGUUUGUGUGUUUUUUUUAAUUUUGUUUUGUUUGUUGUUGGUUUUUUGUUUGUGUGUUUUGUUUUGGUUUUUUUGGUAGGAAAAAUACUUUUGAAUGCUUUGAAACACUGAUAUAAAACUUGCCAUAGCUGCAAGAUUCCCUUCCCACUAACUGGAUUUUUUUUGGAUACAAAACUUUAUUCCCUUUUAAAAACUUUUUCUAACUAAGAAAGCAUUGGAUAUUCAUUAGGGAAGAGGUUUUUUUUCACUUGUCUAGUUCCUUUCUCAUUCUUAUUUCCACUUUUUAUACCAAGAUUCAAGAAGAGGUGGUAUGGUAUGAACUGAGGAAUGGGGAAAUGUGUGGAAAAAACCCUAAUAAUAUAAUUUGUAACCAAAAAGGAAAGAAUGAAAAUAGUGGUUUUCCCACUAAUUUACAUUACAGUUAAAUGGAAAGGGCAAAAAAGGAGGUAAAGGCUUCCUUUCAUGUUGUGAACAUUCUGAUUUUUGAGUUUCUCAGACUGUUUCUAUAGGGCUAAACUAUCACAUUUCCCAGAUGACAUUUCCUAAGGUCACUUCAUCCCAAGUCACAACAGGCUCUUCAGCAAUUGCUUUUCUAGUUCCUGUUUUUGACACUGUAAAACUUUGAUUCUGCUAUAAUUAUUAUAUUAAAAUGCAAAACCAAAAUCUUCAAAUAAGCAAAAUUUUCAGUUUGUUUUGAUGUACUUGGGCUAUUUAUGGGUUUUAGGAGCCAUUGUUUCAAUGUGAUUUCACCUUAUGAGCAGACACAUCAUUGAAGUUUGUCAGUGACAAGGUUAGAAAACCUUCUGAUCAAAAAUAAAAUUGAG